rnacentral:rRNA from 1 species
UACGUAGGGUGCAAGCGUUGUCCGGAAUUAUUGGGCGUAAAGAGCUCGUAGGCGGUCUGUUGCGUCCGCUGUGAAAACUCGGGGCUUAACCCCGAGCCUGCAGUGGAUACGGGCAGACUAGAGGUAGGUAGGGGAGAAUGGAAUUCCCGGUGUAGCGGUGAAAUGCGCAGAUAUCGGGAGGAACACCGGUGGCGAAGGCGGUUCUCUGGGCCUUACCUGACGCUGAGGAGCGAAAGCGUGGGGAGCGAACAG